rnacentral:misc_RNA from 1 species
GUUAGGUUAACGAGUUUAUUCGUUAAGGUUUCACUUUAAAUAAAGCUUCUAGUUCUUGUUUGAUGGAGCAUGUUACACAAUAGGUAAAUUCCACAUUGAAAUGAGAGAUACGUACACAUUUUGGCUCGAUGAUUGCAUAGCCCAAGGGACAAAUCCAUAAGGUCUGUAGGGUCAAAGUGGACAAUACGUAUCAUGGGUUUGGGCUGUGACAUAUAGUGUGGAGAGACCAUUCGUUGGGAACUCCAGUAUAGUUGUUGUGUGCUCCAAAACAAGUUUGUGUUAAACAAAUAUAUUUCUACUCCUUCAAUUACUAGCCGUUCCUCUGUUAUAAGCUAUUUAAUUUGUGGAGAUCAUUCAGUUUUUGUUCAUAGCUAUGUGUUCAGUAUUAGCCGAUGUGAUAUCUGAUAUUGAUCUUAUCCUUCGAUUUUCUUAGGUUAUAUUUGUGGUCAGCUUCAU